rnacentral:rRNA from 1 species
CGUCGCUCCCCUACUUUCGCGCCUCAGCGUCAGUGUCAGCCCAGCAACCCGCCUUCGCCGCAGGUGUUCCUCUUGAUAUCUACGCAUUUCACCGCUACACCAAGAAUUCCAGUUGCCCCUUCUGCACUCUAGCCGCACAGUAUCAGUUGACCUUUCCGAGUUAAGCUCGGAGAUUUCACAACUGACUUGUGCUGGCCGCCUACGCGCCCUUUACGCCCAGUAAAUCCGAACAACGCUUGCUCCCCCCGUAUUACCGCGGCUGCUGGCACGGAGUUAGCCGGAGCUUACAAACGGUACCGUCAUCAUAGGGGGUAUUGUCCCCUACUUAUUCUUCCCGUUCUUGCGAAGUUUACAUCCCGAGGGAUUUCAUCCUUCACGCGGCGUUGCUGGGUCAGGCUUUCGCCCAUUGCCCAAAAUUCCCGACUGCUGCCUCCCGUAGGAGUCUGACCCGUAUGUCAGUGUCAGUGUGGCCGACCGCCCUCUCAGGCCGGCUACGGAUCGUAGCCUUGGUAAGCCGUUACCUUACCAACUAGCUAAUCCGCCGCAGGCUCCUCUUUAGACGCGAGGUCUUUCGAUCCCCCGCUUUAACAACUGUCACCAUUAGGUGCCGCUGCAUUAUGCGGUAUUAGCAACCGU